rnacentral:rRNA from 1 species
GCGUGCAUUAGCUAGUGGUGAGGUACGGCUCACCAAGGCCACGAUGCAUAGCCGACCUGAGAGGUGACGGCUACAUUGGGACUGAGACACGGUCCACAGCCUACGGGGGCAGCAGCAGGUAACUUCGGCAUGGACGAUAGGUGACCGAGCACGCGCGUGUGACAGAAGUUUUCGGAUCGAAAGUCUGUUGUAGAGACGACAUGAUGAGGCACUGUGAUCCCUGAUGUAUCUAGCAGAAAGCACGCAACACGUGCAGCACCCCGUAAUACUAGU